rnacentral:misc_RNA from 1 species
AAGACUAUAGACCUGCGGAGUACCUGCGGAAGGAUCAUUAAUGAAUUUUAGGACGUUCUUUUUAGAAGUCCGACCAUUUCAUUUCCUUGCACUGUGCACACACUUCUUUUUACACACACUUUUAACACAUUAGUAUAAGAAUGUAAUAGUCUCUUAAUUGAGCAUAAACAAAAAUAAAACUUUUAACAAUGGAUCUCU